GCAGCCGCCGCGGGAAUACGUAGGUGGCAAGCGUUGUCCGGAAUUAUUGGGCGUAAAGGGCUCGCAGGCGGUUUCUUAAGUCUGAUGUGAAAGCCCCCGGCUCAACCGGGGAGGGCCAUUGGAAACUGGGAAACUUGAGUGCAGAAGAGGAGAGUGGAAUUCCACGUGUAGCGGUGAAAUGCGUAGAGAUGUGGAGGAACACCAGUGGCGAAGGCGACUCUCUGGUCUGUAACUGACGCUGAGGAGCGAAAGCGUGGGGAGCGAACAGGAUUAGAUACCCGUGUAGUCCCUGUCUCUUAUAC
rnacentral:rRNA from 1 species